AUGCAAAUUAAUACCCAAAUUGCAUUCAAGACAAGUUCCUAUUUAUGUUACAUAAAAGUAAAUUCUGGAACUAUUGAUAUUAAUUCCAAGGCUUUAAACUUGCUCCAAUUUCAAUCCAAUACCAUGCUGCAAUGCUGCCCAUACUUUCCAGCUUUGUUUCAACAAAUAAAAACCCAUUUUCCAGCCCUGUUUCAGCAGCAAAACAGUCCCAAAAAGUGUUGUGAAAAAGUAAAAAACAACAACAACCAUAACAGUUAA